ACUUCUCUGAUGAUCACUUUGAUAGGGACAUUUGAUGUCUAUGAUAGUAUGUCAAUUUGAUAGUAGAACUGAUAAA